rnacentral:lncRNA from 1 species
AAGAUGAAGCCCGAGACGGCUCUUGCUUUAGCUAAGAUUGUAUUUGGCAGCGACGAGAGAGAGCUCUUGGACCAAGUGUCAGUGCCUUGCCACGUCAUACAACCAAGAAACGACGUCGUUGUACCUGUCUCCGUCGCUUACUUCAUGCAGGAGAUGAUCAAAGGGGAAUCGACGGUGGACAUUAUUGAGGACGCGAUGGGUCACUUUCCACAAAUGACGUCACAUAUUGAGCUGCUUGGCGUCAUGAAGCGCCUCCUCCAGCUUUGAAGGAUGAAUAUAAUAAAUGAUUUGCGUCGAUAUUCUUCUUGUCUAUAAUAUUGUGUUACUAAGAUUAUGAAGUAUGUCCCUUAGUAGUAGUAUCUCUUUAUGUUUGUGUAAUGUGAGUGUGUAUUUAUUAGUACAACAACGUAAUUUCCAGUAUAAGUUAAAAGAUAAAGAGAUUAUCAUAGUGAGAGUUAAAGGAGGUAACUAAUUAAAUGGCGCAUCACUUCUUUGGGUUAAGUUAAACUGAAUUGCUUUUUUUUUUUGGGUGUAAAUGUUAAAAACUGAAUUGCUUUCUAUUGGAGUAAUCAGUUUACUUUAAACUAGAAUCCUCCGACUACAUAGAUGUUCCUAUGUAAACGUUAACAAGUUGAUGAAUAACAUGCAUAAUCAUUUUCUUGAAUUUCAACGACAUUUCUUUGAUCUUGUUUAUUCUUGUAACCAUUCUUAUAAAUUGUUGUUACACAUAUACACAAGACAAUUGGUGUUCAAAAGAAAAAAAAAACAUACACAAGACAAUUAUUGCGGACGUUGUGGUUUAGCCAUUUUCGAUGUUUGAUUAGGUAAAUUCCUUAUGAGAUGUGUAUCUGCUUUUUCAAAAAAAUGAGAUGUGUAUCUGUUGGAGGCUAAUUACCGGUAGUUCUUAUCGAAUGAUUUUUAACGUUAAAACUCCUCAACUAAGUUUUGUUUUGGGUAAAAACCUUCAAACUAAGUAUUUAACGAAUAAAUCUCAAACUAAUUUUAUUUAAAAAAUUAAACUCUUUCCGGUCAUAAUUACCAUUACUAACGGUAAAUCUUUAGUUUAGGGGUUUCUACAUUAAGUAAACAUAAUUGAAGGGUUUUACCACUAAAAACAAAAAAAAUACAAAAUUUUAUAACAUUAUCUAAAAAUUAGUAACUUAAAUUUUUCAAGAUUAGCAUUUUUAAAAAUUUCUAUAAAUAUAUGAGUUUGAUUUGUUUUUAACAUCAACAUUAUAUAUGUAUAAAUUAAAAAUGUAAAAAACCAGAAAAUAUAAUAAAAAUUAUCUAAAGAUUUAUUAUUACAUUUUUAUUAGAUAAGAUAUAAUUUUUAUAAUAUUUUCUUGUUUUUACAUUUUUAACUUUUAGAUAAUUUUUAUUACAAAUAAAUCCUUAGAUAAUUUUUGUUAUAUUUUCUGGGUAUUUAUAAUUUUAAUUAAUCAUAUAUAAUGUUGAUUUUAAAACAAAUCAGACUCAUAUAUUUAUAGAAAUUUUUCAAAAUGUUAAUUUUGAAAAUUAUAGUUACUAAUUUUUAGAUAAUAUUAUUAUAUUUUGGAUUAUUUUAAAUUUUAAUGGUAAAACCCUUUAACUAUGUUUACUUAAUAUAGAAAUGGUAAUUAUAACCAGUGACGGUUUAAUUAAUUAAAUAAAAUUAGUUUGAAGUUUUUUCGUUAAAUAUUUAGUUUAAGGGUUUUUACCCAAAACAAAUUUAUUUGAGGGGUUCUAACAUUAAAAAUCCUACAAAGAAUAGUUUAUGUUCUAACUAGGGUCGGCCCGCCCUACGGGCGGGAUAUGCUUUACUUGUGAUCUAGAUUAUUAUUUUUUGUAUGAUUUUGUGAUUUGUUUUUUAAGUUUGCAUUUGCAAGAAACGUGUAUGAUAUUCGUCUUUUAGAAAGUUCAAAGUGAGAGAUUUAUUUGUGAUAAGAUAUAUUUUGCUUGUUUACAAUAGUUGUUUCUGUCUUCCAAAAAAAUUAACUUUAUGAUACUAUAUGUUAGUUAAAUUUUAUCUACUUAAUUAAAUUAUUUGUUAUAUAAUGUGUGUUGAAUUGAUGAUAGUAUAUAAAUGUCUUUUAUUUGUAAUUCAGUGAAAACAUCAGAAUAGUGAAGUUUUAAAAAAGAAAGAAAGAUGAAUUCAUUUUUUAAAAGAUGAUUUGUUGAUGUUUAUAUAAAAAAUUUAUAUAUGAAAGUUAUGUUAUUAUUAUUUUAUCGAAUUAAGUUAUAUUUUACAUAUGUCUAAUUCAAGACCAGUAAAAUUUAUUAAUUACUGUGUCUAUUCAUUUGCCGAAUAUUAAUUUAUAGACUUUCUACUAUAUAUAUAUUAUUUAUUUUUUCAUUAUUUUGUGUCGAUAUAAUGAAUCUCCAUGUUAUCAGUUAAAUAUUUUUAUUGCCAAACAUUAUCGACUAAAGCAAUAACUUCACUGAUUGUACAAUUUGUUAACAAAAUAAAUUUGAAACUGAAGCGAACAUAUAAUGGAGUACAAACCAAAACCAGUCUCUAAUUCUAUCAAUUGUCAAUACAUAUAGUACAUUUGUAUAAUGGAGAUCUCAUAUUUUCAUAAUGGUUAUGCAAUAUUUACAUGCACUACAAGAAAACAGCGGUAUUCUGACGGACGUUCCGACGGAAAAUGAAUUCCUCGGAAUAUACCGAGGAAUUUCCGAGGCAAUUCCGAGGAAACCCAAAAUUUGGCUUCCUCGGAAUUUCCUCGGAAUAUACCGACGGAAUUCCGAGGAAAAUUCAUUUCGUCGGAAUAUUCCGACGGAAUACCGAGGAAAAUAGUAUUCCUCGGAAAAAACCGAUGAAUUCCGAGGAAAUAUUAUAGACGUUAGAGAGCCGUUGGAGAGCCGUUGGGGGGAUUUUAAAAAUUCCGAGGAAAUUCCGAGGUUUUUAUCAUUUAAGAUUUAUAUUCAGAUAAUGUUUAAAAUAUUUUUGAAAUUUAAUCAGUAAUAUUUUGUAUAUAUUGUAAUGAAAAUAAAACUAUAUGCAUUAUAAAUAUUUUUGGGCCUUUUUCAAUUUUAUUUAUUAUAUUUAUAAUUUUUUUAUAUAAAAAUAUAGAUUUUUUUAAAAAAUUGGACCCCUUAACUAUUAACAUACGGAGAUAUUAACAUACGGAGGACACGGGCUUGGACCCGAAACGGUCACACCGCUUAUCCCCUCCUCAGCCGGCCCUGGAUGUAUAGUAGACUGAUAUUAAUUUUAGAAUUCUUUUCACAUACCAUAAAUUGGAUACUACUUUUCAGAUACACAUUCAAUAAAAAAAUACCCUAACAUUUAGGUUUAUGGUUUAGUGAGUAUUUAAGGGGUGAGUUGGAUUUAUAAACUUUUUGUUUGACCAAAACAAGUUGGAUUUAUAAGCUUCUAUUAAUAAUUCUUAAGCAUAUAUAAAUGUGUUUGAUCAAAAAAAGCAUUUAUAAAUGAUUUAGAAGAGUUAGUUUAGUUUUUUCAAUCGCAAAUUUAAGAUAUUUAUGAAAAUGAUCAUUUUGUGAAAAUAAAUUAAAAAUGAUAUCAAAUUUUUGGUAUUAACUUCUAAAUUUUAGGAGAAUUAUACGGAAAUAGUGGGCAGAAGGUUUACACGUAUUCAUAGACGAUAGACUUCCACAUGAUUAUGAAUAUUGAUGUUUUGAGCAAAAAAAACAAUGAUGUAAAUAGUUUAUUAGAUUUCUCCGUUGUGAUCAUUUCAUUAGGUAGAGCAUGAUUAACUAAUGAUAAUAUGUAUUAAUUUUAUGUUAGUGUAGUGUAUUUAAAUCAUGUUAAUGACUACACGUCACAAUACUUAAUGGUGCAUUUACAUGUACAAACAAAAGUAGUUCAUGUAAGUUUACUUUCAGUCCAGAUAACUAUACCUUUUUAAUACCAAAAAGUAAGGAUUCGUUUUCAUAUAUGUUUUAUUUAUGCUGAAUAUUGAUUUUUCCUAUAAGAUGCUAUGUAGAUGAACAAUGAAUACAAAUACAGUCAUUGUUGAAAAGGCCAUAAAUGUUGGAUGUACCAAAAUGCGAGCCUAAUAAAAUCGGUGGUUGGAUGUCAAUUAAGAACCAUAUAUAGACCUAAUCCAUUUCUUUUCUCCCUUUAUAUAUAUGCACAAAAGAUACUAAAGCCUUGUCUCAUCUCUAAAAGCACAAUUAUAGUUAAGAAUGGUGGUUAACCAGAAGAUAUCCAGUCUCUCAGCCGCUAUGAACGCCAAGAUCAUCGGUUCUGGUGAGAGGUCAAUGGUAUUGGCGCACGGGUUUGGAGGCGACCAGUCGGUUUGGGACAAGAUAAUACCGGUUCUGUCCCAAUCUUUUAAGGUUUUAGUCUUUGACUGGCUUUUCUCUGGAGCCAUCAAAGACCAAACUCUAUACGAUCCUUCAAAGUAUAAUUCCCUCGACCCCUUCUCUGACGAUCUUAUUGCUCUUAUGGAGGAGUUGAAGUUUGGCCCCGUUGUGUUCGUAGGCCAUUCCAUGUCGGGCAUGAUCGGUUGUGCUGCUUCUAUUAAAAGGCCCGAUUUGUUUACAAAUCUUAUCCCUAUUGCUGCUUCACCCAGGUAACCUCAAUCUAACCCUUCUCCUUAAUUUUAAUUAAAAUUGGAAAAAAAAUAUUUGUAGAAGCAAGCAAAGUCGUAAAACCCAGAGACAUGUGUAAUCUUCUCUCUUGGAUGUAAUAUCACUUAGGACUAUGUUAGAUAUGGCUAAAGUAAGAGAGGUAAAUAAUGCGUAUUUAUCCCGUAAAUAAGAUGAAGCAAAUGACUAACAGUUAUAAUUACGUUCUAAAGAGAAAUAUAGCACAUGCAAUCAUAAUUCAAAAAGACGUUAUACCAUCCCAUCGAUUGUACGAAUAUUCCUGAUGAUUAAGUGUUUCAUGAAAGAAGACGAAAAAUGCCUUUAAAAAUGACGAAAAAUAUGGUUUAUGAUAAUGGUUUUGCCGAUAAUUAAUGGAUUUUAUGUGGCUUGUAUGAAGUUGUAACUGUUGCCAAGUGUUGAGCAUGUGGCCAAGAUCAUCUUCUAGCUUGUUAGAUGGAUAUGACAUAUAUGAUCCUGUCUUAUUUCCCUAUAACCUAUAUCUGCAUGCUACUUUGUCAUGUGUGUAUAGUAGAUUUAUUUAAAUAAACCAAUCAAACAUAAGACAGUAGAUAUGCAUAUACAUUGUGGACCAUUCAUCUUCCAAGCAGCUUAUUCUCCGAUAUAUAGAGUUGUUGAAUUGCGAUCAAUUUCUUGUAUUGUAAAUAAUUUUUAACAACAACAUACAGUUUUUUUUCUAUUAGUGCGUGUCAUCUUACAUAGGGCCAAAAAAUAUUUACUAGUUAUACCGAAAAAAUCUUUACCUAGGGGCUAGGGCCAAUGUUUUAGUUCCAAUUUUAUCAAACAGUAUCCGCGAAAGGAUGAAUUAUCAUUUUGACUGAUAAGAUUUAAUUUGUUUAUUAUAGUUAUAGUUGAGAAAGUCGGCCAUAAAUUAAUGCAACAGCUGAGUGUUUGACUGUAUAUGUCGUCUAAUGGAACGUGCUUAUAUAUAAACAACUUUAAUUAAAUGAUCAAAUUUAGUAUAUAAGUCAGUACUUCAUAGACUGAAAUGGAAAUCAUUAGGUUUAUUUUAAUUUCUACCCAAUUAAAAUUUAUAGGUAUAUAAACAGUGAGGAUUACAGAGGAGGGUUUGAAUCAAAAGACAUUGACACGAUCAUCACCAGCAUUAGCUCCAACUACGAGGCUUGGGCGGUUGCUUUCACCUCCGUAGUGGUUGACUCAAGAGACUCUUUGUCCGUCCAAAGGUUCGAGAAAUGCCUUAAAAAGAUGAAGCCCGAGACGGCUCUUGCUUUAGCUAAGAUUGUAUUUGGCAGCGACGAGAGAGAGCUCUUGGACCAAGUGUCAGUGCCUUGCCACGUCAUACAACCAAGAAACGACGUCGUUGUACCUGUCUCCGUCGCUUACUUCAUGCAGGAGAAGAUCAAAGGGGAAUCGACGGUGGACAUUAUUGAGGACGCGAUGGGUCACUUUCCACAAAUGACGUCACAUAUUGAGCUGCUUGGCGUCAUGAAG